rnacentral:rRNA from 1 species
CACGGUAAACGAUGGAUGCCCGCUGUUCGCGAUAUACUGUGAGCGGCCAAGAGAAAUCGUUAAGCAUCCCACCUGGGGAGUACGCCGGCAACGGUGAAACUCAAAGGAAUUGACGGGGGCCCGCACAAGCGGAGGAACAUGUGGUUUAAUUCGAUGAUACGCGAGGAACCUUACCCGGGCUUGAACUGCAGGGGAACGAUACAGAGAUGAUGAGGCCCUUCGGGGCCUCUGUGGAGGUGCUGCAUGGUUGUCGUCAGCUCGUGCCGUGAGGUGUCGGCUUAAGUGCCAUAACGAGCGCAACCCCUGCUGUCAGUUGCCAUCAGGUUAUGCUGGGCACUCUGGCGGUACUGCCACCGUAAGGUGCGAGGAAGGUGGGGAUGACGUCAAAUCAGCACGGCCCUUACGUCCGGGGCUACACACGUGCUACAAUGGGGUGUACAGAGAGUCGUGUGCAUGCAAAUGCGCACCAAUCAUGAAAGCAUCCCUCAGUUCGGAUUGGGGUCUGCAACCCGACC